UGUCCUACGGGACGCAGCAGUGGGGAAUAUUGCACAAUGGGGGAAACCCUGAUGCAGCGACGCCGCGUGAGUGAGGAAGUAUUUCGGUAUGUAAAGCUCUAUCAGCAGGGAAGAAAGUGACGGUACCUGACUAAGAAGCCCCGGCUAACUACGUGCCAGCAGCCGCGGUACUACGUAGGGGGCAAGCGUUAUCCGGAUUUACUGGGUGUAAAGGGAGCGCAGACGGUCCUGCAAGCCAGAUGUGAAAGCCCGGGGCUCAACCCCGGGACUGCAUUUGGAACUGUAAGGCUAGAGCGUCGGUGAGG
rnacentral:rRNA from 1 species